rnacentral:rRNA from 1 species
AGAGCGAACGCUGGCGGCAGGCCUAAUACAUGCAAGUCGAGCGGCCCUUCGGGGUAGCGGCGGACGGGUGAGUAACGCGUGGGAACGUGCCCUUUGGUACGGAACAACUGAGGGAAACUUCAGCUAAUACCGUAUGUGCCCUUCGGGGGAAAGAUUUAUCGCCAUUGGAGCGGCCCGCGUUAGAUUAGCUAGUUGGUGGGGUAAAGGCCUACCAAGGCAACGAUCUAUAGCUGGUCUGAGAGGAUGAUCAGCCACACUGGGACUGAGACACGGCCCAGACUCC